rnacentral:rRNA from 1 species
CAGCAGCCACGGUAAUACGGAGGGUGCAAGCGUUAAUCGGAAUUACUGGGCGUAAAGCGCACGCAGGCGGUCUGACAAGUCAGAUGUGAAAUCCCCGGGCUUAACCUGGGAACUGCAUUUGAAACUGUCAGGCUGGAGUCUUGUAGAGGGGGGUGGAACUCCAGGUGUAGCGGUGAAAUGCGUAGAGAUCUGGAGGAAUACCGGUGGCGAAGGCGGCCCCCUGGACAAAGACUGACGCUCAGGUGCGAAAGCGUGGGGAGCAAACAGGAUUAGAUACCCCAGUAGUCCCUGUCUCUUAUAC